GAUGAACGCUGGCGGCGUGCCUAAUACAUGCAAGUCGAGCGAACAGGCGAGAAGCUUGCUCCUCUGACGUUAGCGGCGGACGGGUGAGUAACACGUGGAUAACCUACCUAUAAGACUGGGAUAACUUCGGGAAACCGGAGCUAAUACCGGAUAAUAUAUUGAACCGCAUGGUUCAAUAGUGAAAGACGGUUUUGCUGUCACUUAUAGAUGGAUCCGCGCCGCAUUAGCUAGUUGGUAAGGUAACGGCUUACCAAGGCAACGAUGCGUAGCCGACCUGAGAGGGUGAUCGGCCGCACUGGAACUGAGACACGGUCCAGACUCCUACGGGAGGCAGCAGUAGGGAAUCUUCCGCAAUGGGCGAAAGCCUGACGGAGCAACGCCGCGUGAGUGAUGAAGGUCUUCGGAUCGUAAAACUCUGUUAUUAGGGAAGAACAAAUGUGUAAGUAACUAUGCACGUCUUGACGGUACCUAAUCAGAAAGCCACGGCUAACUACGUG
rnacentral:rRNA from 1 species